ACCCGGCGUGGCUUCUCACCAGCGCCACAUCGUGCGGCCCGCAGCCGGUGAAUUCCCGGCGUCUCUGGAUGUGAUGGAGCAGUGUGAACCUGCAGAUCCCAGGAUUGUCACAGACACCUCCUGCUGCUGAUGCCAGGCUCAGACCUGCCUGGGAUGGAGGAAAACGGGAAGCAAAACAUUGGCCGUGGAUCAGCGAUUGCUUCAAGCUCACUGCCCUCAAAGGAGGCACAGGAAAAAGCUGUUGCUGAAGCUUUGAAGCUCUGGGACACACACACACACGCACUGCCAAGAACUUUGCUUUCUUGCACAUAAUCACUUUAGCUUGGCUGAUAACAAGUUGAUAAAAAUGAUCCCAGGGAAGAAAGGUCAAUGUUUAACCUGUUUGUAAAGCUUGUUCUAUCCAAUUAAAAGUUCAAUUACU